GUAGAGCAGUUUGGUAGCUCACAAGGCUCAUACCCUUCGGGUUGUGGGUUCGAUUCCC
rnacentral:tRNA from 1 species